rnacentral:lncRNA from 1 species
UUCUCAUACUUGCACAUAUUCAACCCCUCAACACACUUCUAGCCAUUUUGGCACACUACAUGGAAUCAAAUUAAGCAUUAAUUUUCUGCACUAUCAAAAUCGUUUACCUGACGCAUAAGUACGACACAGUUAUUUAUCUCAAUACAAAUCCUCCAUGCAAAAACUAGUCAUUAUACAAUUAGAACACUUUCAUACUCUCUAUCCAUGCAAAAUUAACCAUUGCCUCUUACAUCACCUUAUCAUGAGAGCACAAAACCUUCAUUACCAAAAAGGACUGCACAUU